UACGAAGGGGCUAGCGUUGCUCGGAAUUACUGGGCGUAAAGCGCACGUAGGCGGCUUUCUAAGUCGGGGGUGAAAUCCUGGAGCUCAACUCCAGAACUGCCUUCGAUACUGGAAAGCUCGAGUCCGGGAGAGGUGAGUGGAACUGCGAGUGUAGAGGUGAAAUUCGUAGAUAUUCGCAAGAACACCAGUGGCGAAGGCGGCUCACUGGCCCGGGUACUGACGCUGAGGUGCGAAAGCGUGGGGAGCAAACAGG
rnacentral:rRNA from 1 species